GUUUGAGGGAUAGCAGUGUAGUCCGGCCUCAUGCCCCAUUUCCUCCUUCAUUAAUUUUUGCUAAGGGGGGAUUCUGACAUGAAGGGGAGAAGUCCUAGGGCUGCGCACAAUGCCUUGCCCAUAUUGUAAUACAGAGCUGCCAGAUGCUUCCUCCAAAGGAGUGAUGAAGGUCAAUGGCUGAGAUCAAGAGACUGGAUAUUAGUUAUGAAGCAGAGGAUGUGCUUGGAGCUACAGAACCAAUUAGAGAUAUGCGGCUAAAGAAUGACUUCUGUAAUCAAGUGGUUGAAGGCCUGGGAAAAUCUUGUCACUUGGAGAGGUAGUGAGUCACUCUUGAAAAAAAAAAACAAAUCAAUUAUUUUUAAAUAAAUGCAAGAUAAACUUGACA
ensembl:lncRNA